rnacentral:rRNA from 1 species
GACGAACGCUGGCGGCGCGCUUAACACAUGCAAGUCGAGCGGUAAGGCCUCUUCGGGGGUACACGAGCGGCGCACGGGUGAGUAACACGUGGGUGACCUGCCCUCAGCUCUGGGAUAAGCCUGGGAAACUGGGUCUAAUACCGGAUAUGACCUUUCCUCGCAUGGGGUUUGGUGGAAAGUUUUUUCGGCUGGGGAUGGGCCCGCGGCCUAUCAGCUUGUUGGUGGGGUGAUGGCCUACCAAGGCGACGACGGGUAGCCGGCCUGAGAGGGCGACCGGCCACACUGGGACUGAGACACGGCCCAGACUCCUACGGGAGGCAGCAGUGGGGAAUAUUGCGCAAUGGGCGGAAGCCUGACGCAGCGACGCCGCGUGGGGGAUGACGGCCUUCGGGUUGUAAACCUCUUUCGACCCCGACGAAUUUGGACGGUAGGGGUAGAAGAAGCACCGGCCAACUACGUG